CACCAAAGCAGAUCAGAAAUGUCCAUGGCUGACAGGAUGACCUGACCAUCCCUACAUCCUGGCAGCGUAGACGCCCAAGGCAGUUCCAUUCAGACUCCUCGAGUGAAGAUGAAUCCUGAAAGAAAAAGUCAAGAAAGCUGUCCAGGACUGUGCCUGUCUGGAAGCCCUUUGGAUGAAUCAACACCAGUCAGGCACGCCGCCAGUCAUCCUGAUACAGUGACGUGCGGUGAGGUCCAUGGCUGGUGAGGCACAAAUACUUUUUUUUUUUACUCAAAAAUCUUCCGCUCUAAUCAAUGUUAAAACAUUAUAGGAUAAUGAGAAAGGCCAGAGAGUAGUUGACUUCUUGUAAAAAAAAAAAAAAUUCUCAAAUACUUCGUACACAAUGCAACAUUUAUUUCAGUAAUGGCAUUGGUAAUACAUUUGACAGACUACAGCCUAAAUCACCUUCAUCACUGAUUCAUCAUGGAUUCAGCUAAUCUCCCAGUGAAACAAAGUAGCUUUAAACUAUAUUGUGUGGGACUACACCUCGAGUCUUGGCCACUGUCCUGUUUAUCUACAACUACCAGUGUUAUAAUGUUUUUAAAAAAUACCCGUCUUUGUCUUUGGGAAAACUGAAAAAUGACAAAUCUGGUCUUUUGGACCCGGCAUUGUAAAGGUCUUACAGUGGCUCCGCUAUGCACCAGACCGGACGGGAAGGUUUAGGCGUGGCAAUGAAUGAAAUUAAAGAAAACCUGUUUGAUUUCUGUUCAAAAAGAGCGUGACUGCUAUUAUACGAGAUAAAACCAUAUAUCUUUUUACCCUUUGACAUCCUGAUUGUAGACAGGCAGGAUUGUAAUGAAAUGCUGGCACUGAGCAGCAUUAAAUGAGCCCUAUUUCAUCUGGUAUUGUCACUGAAAUAUAAUUGAAGCCACAUACAUUUUUGUUUCAAUGUUCACAUUAAUUGAAAUACAAUCGAAAUUGUGUUAUCUAUGGUUAUGAAACAGACGUUUCAAUGUUAGCAGCGGGUGCAAACUGAUGGUAAAUCAACACUGAAGUCCGACAAGUCGGUGAUCUAACAUUGAAAAUUUAACAUAGAUUCGCCAUUGUUUCAAUGUCACCUUGCUAUCUGAGAUAUUACAUGUGUUCUCCUGCCUGGCCACCUGUAAGUCUUUUGCGUCUCAGUACGCAACUGUGGUGCGGUCAAAGAACCGAAAUUUGUGUGCUUCUUAACAAUGCUACCUGUGUUCUGCACAUUUGACCUGUAUUAUCACAUAUUUCUAAAUUCUUACCUACAUAUAGUAAAUGAGAUGUGUUUUCUGCUGAAAAAAAAUGACUAUUUUUGGAGAAAAUCUGAAAUAUUGGAGGAUCCACCGCAUAUGCUGUUGUUUUCAUUGACCUAUGAGGCCGUUAUCGUUGAGCCGGAUGAACUUUGCCUGA